rnacentral:rRNA from 1 species
GACGGAGGGUGCUAGCGUUGUUCGGAAUUACUGGGCGUAAAGGGCGCGUAGGCGGCCUUCUCAGUCGGGUGUGAAAGCCCGGGGCUCAACCCCGGAACGGCACCCGAGACGGGUUGGCUGGAGACCGGGAGAGGAGGGUGGAAUAGCCAGUGUAGAGGUGAAAUUCGUAGAUAUUGGCUGGAACACCGAUGGCGAAGGCAGCCCCCUGGGUCAACACUGACGCUCAUGCACGAAAGCGUGGGGAGCAAACAGG